GUGCUUGCUUCAGCAGCACUUAUACUAUGAUUGGAGUGAUACAGAAAAGAUUAGCGUGGCCCCUGCGCAAGGAUGAUACAUAAAAUCAGUCACAGCAAUUCUCA
ensembl:snRNA U6 U6 spliceosomal RNA